GACGAACGCUGGCGGCGUGCUUAACACAUGCAAGUCGAACGGAAAGACCCUGCUUUUGUGGGGUGCUCGAGUGGCGAACGGGUGAGUAACACGUGAGUAACCUGCCCUUGACUUUGGGAUAACUUCAGGAAACUUGGGCUAAUACCGGAUAGGAGCUCCUGCUGCAUGGUGGGGGUUGGAAAGUUUCGGCGGUUGGGGAUGGACUCGCGGCUUAUCAGCUUGUUGGUGGGGUAGUGGCUUACCAAGGCUUUGACGGGUAGCCGGCCUGAGAGGGUGACCGGCCACAUUGGGACUGAGAUACGGCCCAGACUCCUACGGGAGGCAGCAGUGGGGAAUAUUGCACAAUGGGCGGAAGCCUGAUGAAGCAACGCCGCGUGCAGGAUGACGACCUUCGGGUUGUAAACCGCUUUCGCCUGUGACGAAGCGUGAGUGACGGUAAUGGGUAAAGAAGCACCGGCUAACUACGUG
rnacentral:rRNA from 1 species